CACAUGCAAGUCGAACGGUAACAUUGGUGCUUGCACCAGAUGACGAGUGGCGCACGGGUGCGUAACGCGUAUGCAAUCUGCCUUGUACUGGAGUAUAGCCCAGGGAAACUUGGAUUAAUCCUCCAUAGUAUAUAGAAAUGGCAUCAUUUUUAUAUUAAAGGUUACGGUACAAGAUGAGCAUGCGUCCCAUUAGCUAGUAGGUAUGGUAACGGCAUACCUAGGCAACGAUGGGUAGGGGUCCUGAGAGGGAGAUCCCCCACACUGGUACUGAGACACGGACCAGACUCCUACGGGAGGCAGCAGUGAGGAA
rnacentral:rRNA from 1 species